CGAAAUAACUAGCAAAGAGACCUUGUUUCAACAUCAAAUAUGUUUCCGUAGGGCCAGAUUCUUGGGCAAAGUUGUUUUAGCGAUCUGGUUGCAACUAAGUAUUGGAGUUGUUGUGCCUUGAAGCUAGAAACUGCCUUGAAUUUCUACAUAGGGAAAUGUAAUCUAUUGCUUUCUUACAGAUUGCCAUUUGCCAGCUGACCUGUGACACGGCAGCAGUGUAUUACAUUUUCAAUGAGCAGUCUGUCUGGAGCUGCUACUAGGAGAAACCGCUUCCUGGUUUCUAGGCCACUGAAGGAAGUCAGUGCCUGGGAUCCUGAGAUGCAGCCACACCAUAAAGUUUCAUUACUCAGUUGCAGUAGAGAAAGCCUCAAAGGAACCACUUCUAAUGGAAACUGCCUCAUUUCCUGGUCAAGUUUCACAGUGGAGGUGCUCUGAAGUAGGUGCUCUGAAGUGCUCUGAAGUGAAAAGUUCACUUCAUGAGAAGUUACAAACUAAUUGUAAAGUAUCUCAAAAAAUGAUCAAGAUAUCCCUUUUCUCUUAUGGUAUAUGACUAAUAACUUGAUAUAUUUUUUAAGGAUCUGCAGCAUAAAAAUCAUUUUAAAAUACCAUUUAGUACUACCCUACUUUUUAAAGUAAAUGCUACU
rnacentral:lncRNA from 1 species